CAUGACUGUAGCAAUACAGUUGAUGGCGACCGGCAAACGGGUGCGGAACACGUACACAACCUUCCUUUUAGUGGAGAAUAGCCCAGGGAAACUUGGAUUAAUACUCCGUAACAUAUAGAAGUGGCAUCACUUUUAUAUUAUAGCAGCAAUGCGCUAGAAGAUGGGUGUGCGGCUGAUUAGAUAGUUGGCGGGGUAACGGCCCACCAAGUCGACGAUCAGUAACUGGUGUGAGAGCACGACCAGUCACACGGGCACUGAGACACGGGCCCGACUCCUACGGGAGGCAGCAGUAAGGAAUAUUGGUCAAUGGACGCAAGUCUGAACCAGCCAUGCCGCGUGGAGGAUGAAGGUCCUCUGGAUUGUAAACUUCUUUUAUUUGGGAAGAAACCCAUCUUUUCUAAGAUGGUUGACGGUACCAGAUGAAUAAGCACCGGCUAACUCCGUGCCAGCAGCCGCGGUAAUACGGAGGGUGCAAGCGUUAUCCGGAUUCACUGGGUUUAAAGGGUGCGUAGGUGGGCAAGUAAGUCAGUGGUGAAAUCUCCGGGCUUAACCCGGAAACUGCCAUUGAUACUAUUUGUCUUGAAUACUGUGGAGGUCAGCGGAAUAUGUCAUGUAGCGGUGAAAUGCUUAGAUAUGACAUAGAACACCAAUUGCGAAGGCAGCUGGCUACACAAAUAUUGACACUGAGGCACGAAAGCGUGGGGAUCAAACAGGAUUAGAUACCCUGGUAGUCCACGCCCUAAACUAUGGAUACUCGACAUUUGCGAUAAACUGCAAGUGUCUGAGCGAAAGCAUUAAGUAUCCCACCUGGGAAGUACGAUCGCAAGAUUGAAACUC
rnacentral:rRNA from 1 species